CCGCGUGGGUUGAAGAAGGUCUUACGGAUUGUAAAGCCCUUUCGGGCGGGGACGAUGAUGACGGUACCCGCAGAAGAAGCCCCGGCUAACUUCGUGC
rnacentral:rRNA from 1 species